GGAAGGCUUGUAUCAUGUUGACACUCCGACAUUGUUGCUGCCAUGACUAAGAAUUCCUCAUGUGGGCGACAGAACUACACACUGUAGCUUCAAAGAGGUAAUAGAAUGAU